rnacentral:rRNA from 1 species
UACGUAGGGUGCGAGCGUUGUCCGGAAUUAUUGGGCGUAAAGAGCUCGUAGGCGGUGUGUCGCGUCGGUCGUGAAAACUUGGGGCUUAACCCUGAGCUUGCGGUCGAUACGGGCAUCACUGGAGUUCGGCAGGGGAGACUGGAAUUCCUGGUGUAGCGGUGAAAUGCGCAGAUAUCAGGAGGAACACCGGUGGCGAAGGCGGGUCUCUGGGCCGUAACUGGACGCUGAGGAGCGAAAGCGUGGGGAGCGAACAGG